rnacentral:rRNA from 1 species
GACGUAGGAGGCGAGCGUUGUCCGGAUUCAUUGGGCGUAAAGAGCGCGCAGGCGGCUUGGUAAGUCGGAUGUGAAAACCCGAGGCUCAACCUCGGGCGUGCAUCCGAAACUGCUCGGCUAGAGGUAGGUAGGGGAGAUCGGAAUUCCUGGUGUAGCAGUGAAAUGCGUAGAGAUGUGGAGGAACACCGAUGGCGAAGGCAGCCUCCUGGGCCAGCACUGACGCUCAUGCACGAAAGCGUGGGGAGCAAACAGG